rnacentral:rRNA from 1 species
UAGCAUAUCAAUAAGCGGAGGAAAAGAAACUAACAAGGAUUCCCCUAGUAACUGCGAGUGAAGCGGGAAAAGCUCAAAUUUUAAAUCUGGCGGUCUCAGGCCCGUCCGAGUUGUAAUCUAGAGAAGUGAUGCCCGCGCUGGACCGUGUACAAGUCUCCUGGGAUGGAGCGUCAUAGAGGGUGAGAAUCCCGUCUCUGACACGGACUACCAGGGCUUUGUGGUACGCUCUCAAAGAGUCGAGUUGUUUGGGAAUGCAGCUCAAAAUGGGUGGUAAAUUCCAUCUAAAGCUAAAUAUUGGCGAGAGACCGAUAGCGAACAAGUACCGUGAGGGAAAGAUGAAAAGAACUUUGGAAAGAGAGUUAAACAGUACGUGAAAUUGCUGAAAGGGAAACGCUUGAAGUCAGUCGCGUUGGCCGGGAAUCAGCCUCGCUUUUGCGUGGUGUACUUUCCGGUUGACGGGUCAGCAUCAAUUUUGAUUGCUGGAAAAAGGCUUGGGGAAUGUGGCAGCUUCUGCUGUGUUAUAGCCCCAUGUCACAUACGGCGAUUGGGAUUGAGGAACUCAGCACGCCGAAAGGCCGGGUUUCGACCACGUUCGUGCUUAGGAUGCUGGCAUAAUGGCUUUAAGCGACCCGUCUUGAAACACGGACCAAGGAGUCUAACAUGCCUGCGAGUGUUUGGGUGGAAAACCCGAGCGCGUAAUGAAAGUGAAAGUUGAGAUCCCUGUCGUGGGGAGCAUCGACGCCCGGACCAGAACUUUUGGGACGGAUCCGCGGUAGAGCAUGUAUGUUGGGACCCGAAAGAUGGUGAACUAUGCCUGAAUAGGGUGAAGCCAGAGGAAACUCUGGUGGAGGCUCGUAGCGAUUCUGACGUGCAAAUCGAUCGUCAAAUUUGGGUAUAGGGGCGAAAGACUAAUCGAACCAUCUAGUAGCUGGUUCUGCGACCCCUCCCCUCCCGUGGGU